GUGAACAAUAGAAGGCAGCAUCCACGUGACCCUGCGUUCCCGGAUGUUAGUUCCCUAAGUUGGUUUCCAACUGUCUCUAUGGGGCCACUGAAUACCUAGUGUGUCACGUGAUUGGGGAGGUUUCUUCCCUGUAUUGCUGCCGGAUUAUGCAACAACCCUAGUGCGUGCAAUGUCGGAAUGGCGCACGUCUGUGAUCGAGCUGCCAUCGGCGAUGACGAUCGUCGCUGCGAAUUCUGCAGCAAACUAUUCAUACAGAGGAAGAACAUGCUGCAACACAUCAGGAACGUUCACAAAAUGGCCGUGGAUGUCAAGAAAUUGAUGAAAUGCGACGUAUGUGGCACUUCCCUGCCUACAAUGGAGAAGUAUUCGGUGCACCAGAUCGCUGCGCACAACUUCGAGGCUGAUUACGUGCACCCGGUGUUCCGGAACAAUAAGGAAUUUCAUGAAUGGAAAGCAAAAGAAUAGGGUAGCCAAAACUGCUGGUUCAUUUUGCCCAGGGACCCCAAAAAGCUGGCCAGUGGAGAAACAAGGAUCCACUAUUACUGUAAUAGAUCAGGCGAGGCAAGGAAAAAGGAAGGUCAUAGUGACCGUCGGGAGAAAAGUCAGGGGAGCUGUAGGUCUGGUAAGAUAUGUCUUUCAUUUAUUACCGUCACAAUUACCGUCCGACACCUGAAGGCACCACCAUAAAAGUCAGGUAUCAAAGAAACCAUUACGGUCAUAAACCAGAAAUUCAGCACUUGAGAAUGAGUGACAAGGAAAAGGCCAGCGUAGCAGAGAACCUAGAAAGGGGUAUGCCCAUGAAAACCAUUCUAAAGCGAGUAAGAACAUCUGUGGCAUCCAAGCUGAGGCCCGUGCACUUGGCAGAGUGCUCAACCCUGCAUAACAUCAAACAGCAGUUUAACAUUGCUGCUCCUGAACAUUGUCACACUAAUGACGCUAUCAGUGUAGACAUGUGGGUGCUUGUGAUGAAAGAAAAAGGUGAAACACUUGUCCGCCUGUACAAGGCACAAGGUGCAGUGGACCCAAGUGGUACAUUUCCUUCAGCAGACUUUGCUCUUGUUCUGAUGACAGUCUCAGAAGGAGCUACUAGAAAAAUUGGGCCCUGCAGGUACUGUAUGUCUUGACUCCACACAUGGAACUACAGAGUACCAGUUUGAGCUGACCACUCUUCUGGUGCUAGAUAAAAUAGGAUCAGGUGUAGCUAUAGCUUAUUUCAUCUGCAACCGGAUGAACGAGCAAACUUUGACAGCAUUCUUCAAAUAUCUGGAGUUGGCCAUGGCCAAAAAAGUGGCUGCUAAGACAUUGAUAUCUGAUGAUGCGUCGCAAUUCUACAAAGCAUGGUCCAUGGUCAUGGGUGCCGCAAAACAGAAACUUCUCAGUGCCUGGCAUGUGGAUAACAAUUGGCAUAAGAAGAUACUCGAGUGUGUAGAGAAACAGCUAAGGCCACAUGUUUACCAUAGUGUGUGGCUACUCUUAGAGUUCCUCGCGGAAAAGGCAUUUGAAGAUUAUUUUAAGCAAUUCCUUUCUAGUGAGGGAGAAAAACUGAGGGACUUCCUGAAGUACUUCAAUGACCACUAUGCAGUUAGGCCGCAAGAGUGGGCCUAUUGCUUUAGGACUAGAGCAGCUGUCAACACUAACAUGCACCUUGAGAGCAAGCGCAGGACGUUAAAGCAUACUAUGCUGGAGAGAAAACAGAAUAAGCAUGGUGACAAACUUAUUUCUGCCCUCAUGGACUUGACAAAUCAUUUUUUAAUGAAAAGGGCUAUCCAGAUGAUGAAAGGGGCAAAGGGUAAGAAGCUGAGCAGAAUUCAGAAGAACCACAGGUCUGGCAGUGAAAUGGCAGCUUGAGCCAAAUUAAAUGAAGAUGGCUGUGCCAAAUUAAAUGAAGAUGGCAUAUAGACUGUGCCAUCUCAGUCUAUUAAAGGGCUCUCAUAUAAAGUGUCAAAAGUGGGAGAUGGUGCUUGCUGUCCUUUGAGGUGUAAGGAAUGUGCAGUGUGUGUGCAUACUUACAUGUGCACUUGCUAUGACCAUCUUAUACACUUUACAGUGUGCAAGCACAUUCACUGUGUGGUCAUCGCUAAUCCAACUAGCAGCAACAAGGCCCAUGAGAGCUCACCCGAAGAAGCAUGUGAGGCAAGUCGGGCAUUGCACAUUGUACAGAGUAUAACAAAGCUGGAAGCAGCCAAAGCAGUGUAAAGCUCAGCACUCUUAAGAGCAAAAAUGGACUCGGUCAGACAGGCAAUAUCAGAUGGUGAAGUCUCUGAGGGUGUGGCUGAGAAGGCAAACAAUUUGUUUGAGCCAGUUUUCAUGCUUGUUGAAAGUGAAAGUGACCCAAAAAGAAAGAUGCCAGACCAUUCAAAUGAACCAGCCAACAAAAAAGUUGUGCACCUGUUAAGAUUUCACUCUACAAAAAACCCUAGAUUGUCGCAGCCAUCAUCUAGCCUUUCAAGGCCCACUGAAGUUCAAAAGGAAGUCCUUAAAUAACAGCUUAGGGACAGCAACAUAGAAACAAGAGAUAACCAUGUCAGCAGGGCACGAUUACUGGUAACAAGCCUCCAGUGCAGUUAGGAAGAGAGAAGUGGUGCAGUAGUGCUGUGCUGUCAUGCCUUAUUGAAGCAGGUUGAGGGCUCGCAUGUUAACAAAUCAUGACAUGUGGUCUCUGAUGAUUAGCCCGUCUGUUUUUGUCUGUGGUGUGCAGCCAUAUGUCACAGCUGGAUGGUAUGUGUGUUAGAGCACGAGAGAUGCCUCCAUGCUUGUUGUAUGAGCUGCUGGUAAGUGUUCUGUGAAGAUAGGUACAGACCCAGUGGUCAUCUCUGGUAUGUGGCAGCUGUUGGAUGGUAGUGUGUUAGAGCACGCCUCCAUGCUUGUCAUAUGAGCCGCUGGUAAGUAUGUCUGUACAUAGAUGUAAGGAAGUGCAUUGGAUGGUGUGUAGUGUUUCAGUGUGCAAAAGCCUCCAAUGUGUUUUGCUACUUAUAAAUUUGUGUAAACACUCAGUAGAGCAGUAGUUAUGAUGUUGCACUGUUGAGCACGAGCUUGCGGGUUCAAUCCCAGCAAAGGUGGCUGCAUUUCAGUGGUGGUGAAAUGAAAAAAAAAAAGUGUGUAGUUGAAUUUAAGUGCACAUCACAAAACCCGAGGUGGUCAAAAAUAUUACUGAGUCCCGCACUGUGGCAUGCCUCAUAAUUCGAUCUAGAUUUUGUGUUCCAUGUGAUGUUCUUAUUGCCCAUUUGAAUAAACUUUUAUUUUUCAGAUUACCAAAAUAGAGGGCAUAUGCAGUGGUAUUGUGUGCAGUCUGGAUAAGUUGCUCUGGUCAUGAGCACUCAAUUAAAUCUUCUGCAUAUUUGGCUGCAGCAGACAGUGUCAUAAUGAUUGUAAAGACUAUGCAGAAAGCUUUAGGCCACUCUACAUAUCAGAUCAGUUUUAUAUUGCAUCCCUUAUGAUGCAUCUCUUACUUGAGUAGGCAUAAUAACAAUUGGCAAUGCUUCCUUACACAUUUAAUAUUUUUCUCUUUUUCUUUUGGAAGAGUAGCCUUCGAAGAAUAAUCUACAACAGUGCUCCUACCUUCUCUUUCACUGUCUCCCCAUUUCUUUUCUACACUUCAACUUCAUUCUACGCACUUUCUUAUUCUCCUCUUCAUCCUACAUUGAGGGUGUGGGAAAGUGAGCUAAGCGUGCAUAAAGAUUGCUGUGCCGAACUUAAUUGCGGCACUGACGAAAACAAAUCUUUGUCAAAAGGUUCACUCCAGCUACAUUCCCCCUCCAAACACUGUUUAUCACUUCAAGCCUUCAUAUUCCUGUGAGCUUUUGUCUUGUUUAACAGUUGUAACAGUCAUACUAUUUAUUACUAUCAAUAGCCAGCAUACAUUUAGCACUGCAAAGGGCUGUUUAGAAGAUGUGCGAGUUUCUACUUCCCUUAUGAUAAAUACUCCAGACAUUCAGUCUCUAUUUUAUGAAAAUCUUUCAAACAUUGCCAGUGAUGACCACCAUAUAGGUUAAUGUCGGCAUGGGAUUGAGGCUUUCCCGCAAAAAGAACAGUUAUGUUGUGCUCAUAUCAUGUGACUGGCAGUUUCUGCUGUAAUUUUUGCACUUGUCAACUGCACUGUGAAGAGUUCAUUUCUGUGAAUAUGUGCUGGCCUGAUUCUUCUUGUUCACGCAUUUCAGAUCUUGUGCUAUGAGAUGAGGAGGUGUAAAAUAAAAACACCGUGUAGAUUUCACAAUGCCUUUAAGAAACCACGCGAAGCUUGGAGAUGAAGCAUUACAUGCACCUUGAACCAAGUGUCUGGACACAGCGAGUGAAAGUUGUUUUGUCAUGAGCGAGGGUGUCGGUGUUACUUGUAACUACCUUUAAAUAAAAGUUUGUUUCAAAACAGUG